rnacentral:lncRNA from 1 species
AUGACCUGUAAGUUAUAUAAUUUUAACACUUCAAUGCAUUCAAGAUUUCCCUUUAUCCUUGACUAGUUUUUGAUUAAUACCUUGUGUAUUAAAAAAGCAACAGGGACAUAUAGGGGCCACCAUGGUGAACAUAUUUUUUAUGGCCACCAUUAAUAAGAUAAAGUCACAGGUAGUACUGUAUUUGUACCAGAAGAUAUAUCUGUUACAAAUUGUAUUGCCCAUGUAUAUGGUUCUGAAGUGACUAUGGUACUAAUCUACCAAAAAAAAGUUACAAUACUGGUACAAAAUUUGUAUACCAGUAUUGUGGACAAUACUGGUAUGCUCCACAAUACUGGUAUACCAGUAUUGCGAUUACCAACUACAGGAGAUCCAAGAUAAAGAAUAAUAAGUGAAAACAAUUAACACUACAGAAAUGAAAAGUUUUUCACCCCCAUCCCCCAUUAACAAAAACAAGUGCGAGUGAUUUAAUAUACGAAUGUGGAUAGUACCCCCCCCCUUUUUCCAUUGACAGAAACUACUGUAUGUGAGUAAACGGUAGUCAAUUCUAUAUCUGAUGGUUUAAUAUGUUAUUUUUCAAAGGUAUAUAAGAAAAUAAGCUUCCCGUUUAAAAUCCAUUGGAGGUCCUCCGAUAAACCGCAACUAAUAUUUUUUGUAGCGGCCACUUUCCUAUUACUGGAUGUCCGCCAUUUUGACUUAAC